CCUACGGGUGGCAGCAGUGGGGGAUCUUGCACAAUGGGGGGAACCCUGAUGCAGCGACGCCGCGUGAGUGAAGAAGCACUUCGUUGUGUAAAGCUCUAUCAGCAGGGAAGAAAAUGACGGUACCUGAGUAAGAAGCCCCGGCUAACUACGUGCCAGCAGCCGCGGUAAUACGUAGGGGGCAAGCGUUAUCCGGAUUUACUGGGUGUAAAGGGAGCGUAGACGGCAGUGCAAGCCUGGAGUGAAAGGCCGGGGCUCAACCCCCGGACUGCUCUUGAAACUGUACGGCUGGAGUGCAGGAGAGGGAGGUGGAAUUCCUGGUGUAGCGGUGAAAUGCGUAGAUAUUAGGAGGAACACCAGUGGCGAAGGCGGUUUACUGGACUGUAACUGACGUUGAGGCUCGAAAGCGUGGGGAGCAAACAGGAUUAGAUACCCGUGUAGUC
rnacentral:rRNA from 1 species